UCUGCCCGCUGGCGGCGUGCCUAAUACAUGCAAGUCGAGCGAACAGACGAGGAGCUUGCUCCUCUGACGUUAGCGGCGGACGGGUGAGUAACACGUGGAUAACCUACCUAUAAGACUGGGAUAAAUUCGGGAAACCGGAGCUAAUACCGGAUAAUAUAUUGAACCGCAUGGUUCAAUAGUGAAAGACGGUUUUGCUGUCACUUAUAGAUGGAUCCGCGCCGCAUUAGCUAGUUGGUAAGGUAACGGCUUACCAAGGCAACGAUGCGUAGCCGACCUGAGAGGGGGAUCGGCCACACUGGAACGGGGACACGGUCCAGACUCCUACGGGAGGCAGCAGUAGGGAAUCUUCCGCAAUGGGCGAAAGCAUGACGGAGCAACGCCGAGUGAGUGAUGAAGGUCUUCGGAUCGUAAAACUCUUUUAUUAGGGAAGAACAAAUGUGUAAGUAACUAUGCACGUCUUGACGGUACCUAAUAAGAAAGCCACGGCUAACUACGUG
rnacentral:rRNA from 1 species